UCUAAAUAACCAAAGUUUGGGUGCACCUUAAGCAACAUGAAUGUCAUAAAAGAAGUUAAAAGAAAGAAAUGGAUAUGUGUCAAUAUUUAAGCUCAAGUGUGAUAUAUGUAGAGGAACAUACGAUCUGCAAACGACAGCCACAAACCCGAAUCAAGAUGCUGUUCUGGGGGUGAUAAUGAUAGGGGCAGGUUAAAGUGCUCUAGCGCAGCUUUCAACAUGAUUAGAAAUCUAUGAGACAAGCUGGUGAGAUGGAAAAAAAAUUAGCUAUAGAAGCAGGUGAUCUCUCACCUGAUGGGGUUCCUAUGAUUACUGUCGUAGCGGAUGGGUCUUGGGCCAAAAGAUCAUAUAGAUCCAAUUACAAUUCUCUUUCAGGAGCUGCAGCAAUUAUAGGCUGUAGAACUAAACAGGUCCUUUUUAUUGGCAUAAAAAACAAAUAUUGUACAAUUUGCCAACUCUCAAAAAAUCAAGGACACAAUCAGAUGCCUAAAAGGCAUAAAUGCUUUAAAAACUUUGACGGUUCUUCAACGAGCAUGGAAGGCGAUAUUUUAAAAGAAGGAUUUCUCCAUAGUUUAGAGCAACAUGGAUUAAUCUACCAUAAAUUAAUAGCUGAUGGAGACAGCAAUUCUCUGAAAAAAAUUUUAGAUGCUCAUCCAUAUAAAAAUGUCAUUGUGAAAAAAAUUGAGUGCAGAAAUCACCUUCUACGAAAUUACUCCCGGAAAAUUCGAGAUUUAGGUAAAGACGUCAAUGCUGGGCCAUUAGUUCUUCGGAAGCAAAUAAGCAAAGAACAGCUAAGAUUACGAUAUGCAGUUACAAAAGCUAUUGAACAUAGAAAAAAUGAGGGUGUUCCGAUGUUAGAAAAAAUAAAGUUGUUAAAACAAGACAUAGACAAUUCUAUUAGCCACGUUUUUGGAAAACACAAACUUUGUGCAGAAUUGGGAUAUUUCUGUCAUGAGCAAUAUAAACCCAGUGGCAGCAUAUUGUCAGACUUAAAAAUGACAGGUAGGUUCUAAAAGCCCAAAGUGUAAAGAAUUACGGUUUAUGACUGCCUUAUAAAUAUUUAUAAUUUUUUGUUGUUUCAGACCUAUACGACAAAUU